rnacentral:rRNA from 1 species
UACGGGGGGGGCUAGCGUUGCUCGGAAUCACUGGGCGUAAAGGGUGCGUAGGCGGGUCUUUAAGUCAGGGGUGAAAUCCUGGAGCUCAACUCCAGAACUGCCUUUGAUACUGAGGAUCUUGAGUUCGGGAGAGGUGAGUGGAACUGCGAGUGUAGAGGUGAAAUUCGUAGAUAUUCGCAAGAACACCAGUGGCGAAGGCGGCUCACUGGCCCGAUACUGACGCUGAGGCACGAAAGCGUGGGGAGCAAACAGG